rnacentral:rRNA from 1 species
UACGGAGGAUCCGAGCGUUAUCCGGAUUUAUUGGGUUUAAAGGGUGCGCAGGCGGGGGAUUAAGUCGGCGGUGAAAUUUUGCGGCUCAACCGUAAAAGUGCCUUCGAUACUGGUGGUCUUGAGUGUGGAUGAGGUAGGCGGAAUUUGUGGUGUAGCGGUGAAAUGCAUAGAUAUCACGAGGAACUCCGAUUGCGCAGGCAGCUUACUAAACCAUAACUGACGCUCAGGCACGAAGGCGUGGGGAUCAAACAGGAUUAGAUACCCGUGUAGUCCCU